UGGGGAAUAUUGGACAAUGGGCGGAGGCCUGAUCCAGCCAUGCCGCGUGUGUGAAGAAGGCCUUUUGGUUGUAAAGCACUUUAAGCGAGGAGGAGGCUACUUGGAUUAAUACUCUAGGAUAGUGGACGUUACUCGCAGAAUAAGCACCGGCUAACUCUGUGCCAGCAGCCGCGGUAAUACAGAGGGUGCGAGCGUUAAUCGGAUUUACUGGGCGUAAAGCGUGCGUAGGCGGCUUCUUAAGUCGGAUGUGAAAUCCCUGAGCUUAACUUAGGAAUUGCAUUCGAUACUGGGAAGCUAGAGUAUGGGAGAGGAUGGUAGAAUUCCAGGUGUAGCGGUGAAAUGCGUAGAGAUCUGGAGGAAUACCGAUGGCGAAGGCAGCCAUCUGGCCUAAUACUGACGCUGAGGUACGAAAGCAUGGGGAGCAAACAGG
rnacentral:rRNA from 1 species